AGAGUGGAAGCAUCUUGAACUGUGUGAGGAAGCAAGUUCCAGAGACUUCAAGCCAAACGUUGUACGCGUAACCCCCAAAUGAAGUAACAGAGAUUCUAGACUAAUUUGUGCAACACUGUCGGUGAAGAUCAACCCCACUUUGUGUUGAUAGAAAUGGAGGCUACUACUAGUGCUGAAGCUGCUGCCACUAGUCAUGACAUUGACAAUGCAAUUCCAUCAACGUCAUCUGCUAAGGCAGAUGCCCAGGGGCAUAGAGGUCUUAGGCUAGGCGUCUCCAUGGUUACGCGGCUGACUCCCACGACGUCACUUCCGGUUGCGACUGACGUGCCCGGAGGUGCCGGGCGGUGAGACUGGUGGCGUGACCGGCUGGAGACGCCAGGUGAAUGGUUGUUUGUUGCGGGCUGUCCGUUUGUUGUUAUUAUUGUUGCUAUGGUGAUGGGGAGCACGGCCGGGGGAAGUGACGUGGCGCAUCGUCACUUCCGGCACGCUGGACGGAGCGGGCGGCAUCCCGCUGACCGCAGGCGAUCCACACACAGGGUGAUGAUAUCCUUUAUAAGGGACGGAAAGAGCACACCUGGAGGACACAGUAGCACCCCCUGUAUGGACAACACUGCACCUCUAACGGACAACACAGCACCUCUGAUGGAUAGCACAGCACCGCUGGACAGAUACAGCACAGUCACGUCUACACUGUACAAGAUCCACAGCUGGAGUUAAAUACCGCGAUCCCUGGGGACCUUUAUAAUAUCCAAGACCUACGAGAAUCCGAAAGCGGGAGGAUGAUGUUUUGCCUUGUUUUGGGAUCCGAGUCAGGCAGCAAACCCCGAGCAGGACUUGGAUCCUGGCUCGGAUCGUUAAGUUCGGGGGUGGAUCCGGUUCCCACUCAUCUCUACUUAUUAUAGCAUACCUCCCAACAUGACCCUGUCCAGGAGGGACAGAAUGUUCUGCUUCUGGAAUUUUCUCUUAAUUUGUGAUUACUGGCACCUAACAGAUUACUGGAUAAGAAAGAUGUUCCGGCACAGGUGCAUACCUCCCAACAUGACCCUCUCCAGGAGG